AACGAACGCUGGCGGCAUGCCUAACACAUGCAAGUCGAACGAGAACUUCGGGUCUAGUGGCGCACGGGUGCGUAACGCGUGGGAACCUGCCCUUAGGUUCGGAAUAACUGCCCGAAAGGGGUGCUAAGACCGGAUAAUAUCUUCGGACCAAAGAUUUAUCGCCUUUGGAUGGGCCCGCGUUGGAUUAGCUGGUUGGUAGGGUAAAAGCCUACCAAGGCGACGGUCUAUAGCUGGUCUGAGAGGAUGAUCAGCCACACUGGGACUGAGACACGGCCCAGACUCCUACGGGAGGCAGCAGUGGGGAAUAUUGGACAACGGGCGAAAGCCUGAUCCAGCAAUGCCGCGUGAGUGAUGAAGGCCUUAGGGUUGUAAAGCUCUCUUACCCGGGAUGAUAAUGACAGUACCGGGAGAAUAAGCUCCGGCUAACUCCGUG
rnacentral:rRNA from 1 species